AGUGAACGCUGGCGGUAGGCCUAACACAUGCAAGUCGAGCGGCAGCACAGUAAGAGCUUGCUCUUACGGGUGGCGAGUGGCGGACGGGUGAGGAAUACAUCGGAAUCUACUUUUUCGUGGGGGAUAACGUAGGGAAACUUACGCUAAAACCGCAUACGACCUACGGGUGAAAGCAGGGGAUCUUCGGACCUUGCGCGAUUGAAUGAGCCGAUGUCGGAUUAGCUAGUUGGCGGGGUAAAGGCCCACCAAGGCGACGAUCCGUAGCUGGUCUGAGAGGAUGAUCAGCCACACUGGAACUGAGACACGGUCCAGACUCCUACGGGAGGCAGCAGUGGGGAAUAUUGGACAAUGGGCGCAAGCCUGAUCCAGCCAUACCGCGUGGGUGAAGAAGGCCUUCGGGUUGUAAAGCCCUUUUGUUGGGAAAGAAGAGCAGCAGGUUAAUACCCCGCUGUUCUGACGGUACCCAAAGAAUAAGCACCGGCUAACUUCGUG
rnacentral:rRNA from 1 species